UAGCAUAUCAAUAAGCGGAGGAAAAGAAACCAACAGGGAUUGCCUUAGUAACGGCGAGUGAAGCGGCAACAGCUCAAAUUUGAAAUCUGGCUUCGGCCCGAGUUGUAAUUUGCAGAGGAUGUUUAUGGUGCGGUACCUUCCGAGUUCCCUGGAACGGGACGCCACAGAGGGUGAGAGCCCCGUCUGGUUGGAUACCAAACCUGUGUUAAACUCCUUCAACGAGUCGAGUAGUUUGGGAAUGCUGCUCUAAAUGGGAGGUAAAUCUCUUCUAAAGCUAAAUAUUGGCCAGAGACCGAUAGCGCACAAGUAGAGUGAUCGAAAGAUGAAAAGCACCUUGAAAAGGGGGUUAAACAGUACGUGAAAUUGUUGAAAGGGAAGCGUUUAUGACCAGACUUGUGCCGUGUGGCUCAUCCGAGGUUCUCCCCGGUGCACUCCACACGGCUCAGGCCAACAUCGGUUUUCGCUGGGGGAUAAGAACAGUAGGAACGUAGCUCCCCUCGGGGAGUGUUAUAGCCUAUUGUACGAUACCCUGGCGGGGACCGAGGACCGCGCUUCGGCUAGGAUGUUGGCGUAAUGGUCAUUAGCGACCCGUCUUGAAACACGGACCAAGGAGUCGUCCAUUAGAGCGAGCGUUUGGGUGUAAAACCCGCACGCGUAAUGAAAGUGAAAUUAGGUGAGAGCUUCGGCGCAUCAUCGACCGAUCCUGAAGUUUACGGAUGGAUUUGAGUAAGAGUUUUAACGGACGGACCCGAAAGACAGUGAACUAUGCUUGAAUAGGGUGAAGCCAGAGGAAACUCUGGUGGAGGCUCGCAGCGGUUCUGACGUGCAAAUCGAUCGUCAAAUUUGAGCAUGGGGGCGAAAGACUAAUCGAACUGUCUAGUAGCUGGUUACCGCCGAU
rnacentral:rRNA from 1 species